rnacentral:rRNA from 1 species
GUAACUGACCUAGCGGCGGACGGGUGAGUAAUGCUUAGGAAUCUGCCUAUUAGUGGGGGACAACAUUCCGAAAGGGAUGCUAAUACCGCAUACGCCCUACGGGGGAAAGCAGGGGAUCUUCGAACCUGGCGCUAAUAGAUGAUGCCUAAGUCGGAUUAGCUAGUUAGUGGGGUAAAGGCCUACCAAGGCGACGAUCUGUAGCGGGUCUCGAGCAGGAUGAUCAGCCACACUGGGACUGAGAACACGGCCCAGACUCCUACGGGAGGCAGGCAGUGGGGAAUAUUGGACAAUGGGCGCAAGCCUGAUCCAGCCAUGCCGAGUGUGUGAAGAAGGCCUUUUGGUUGUAAAGCACCUUAAGCGAGGAGGAGGCUCUGAAGGUUAAUACCCUUGAUGAGUGGACGUUACUCGCAGAAUAAGCACCGGCUAACUCUGUGCCAGCAGCCGCGGUAAUACAGAGGGUGCGAGCGUUAAUCGGAUUUACUGCGCGUAAAGCGUGCGUAGGCGGCUGAUUAAGUCGGAUGUGAAAUCCCUGAGCUUAACUUAGGAAUUGCAUUCGAUACUGGUCAGCUAGAGUAUGGGAGAGGAUGGUAGAAUUCCAGGUGUAGCGGUGAAAUGCGUAGAGAUCUGGAGGAAUACCGAUGGCGAAGGCAGCCAUCUGGCCUAAUACUGACGCUGAGGUACGAAAGCAUGGGGAGCAAACAGGAUUAGAUACCCUGGUAGUCCAUGCCGUAAACGAUGUCUACUAGCCGUUGGGGCCUUUGAGGCUUUAGUGGCGCAGCUAACGCGAUAAGUAGACCGCCUGGGGAGUACGGUCGCAAGACUAAAACUCAAAUGAAUUGACGGGGGCCCGCACAAGCGGUGGAGCAUGUGGUUUAAUUCGAUGCAACGCGAAGAACCUUACCUGGUCUUGACAUAGUAAGAACUUUCCAGAGAUGGAUUGGUGCCUUCGGGAACUUACAUACAGGUGCUGCAUGGCUGUCGUCAGCUCGUGUCGUGAGAUGUUGGGUUAAGUCCCGCAACGAGCGCAACCCUUUUCCUUAUUUGCCAGCACUUCGGGUGGGAACUUUAAGGAUACUGCCAGUGACAAACUGGAAGAAGGCGGGGACGACGUCAAGUCAUCAUGGCCCUUACGACCAGGGCUACACACGUGCUACAAUGGUCGGUACAAAGGGUUGCUACCUAGCGAUAGAAUGCUAAUCUCAAAAAGCCGAUCGUAGUCCGGAUUGGAGUCUGCAACUCGGACUCCAUGAAGUCCGAAUCGCUAGUAAU